GAGGCGAUUAGAGGGGGAGAAAUGGUGAUUUUAGAGAUUUUAGUGACGAAGAAGGCUAGAGACGGCUGAUAAAGGUUCUACUACACUCACGAGACCGUGAGGGCUUCUAGAUCAGUGAAAAAAGAUACUGAAGAUCUAGCUGCGUUCCGGCGGGAAGUGCGGGAGGAACUACCAGAUCACGUGUACUUCCGCCCGCGUCCAAGAUGGCUGUGGGACGACGUUCCUGACAUCCUGUGGGUUCGGCUGCGUCUGACGUAAGCGGCAGCGUCUGACGUAAGGGCUGGUAAGGGGUGGAGCAGUCAACAAACAGCAAAUGCGGGUGCUGGUGAGCGAGAGUCAGCUAUGGACUGGAAAGAAGCGCUUCGCCGGAGACUAGCGACUCCCCGCAGGGAUCGGGAGGG